CUUAAACCUCCUCAUGUACUUUGGAAAUGGGAGAGGUUAUAAGAAGGGGAGGCUGUUGCCCAAAUAUGCAGCCCAAGAGGGGGGGUGAAUUGGGCUUUUAAAUCUUUUUAACUAUUUCUAAACUUUUGCGUUAAUUAAGCUAAGUUAUAUGGAUAAACAAUGUAAUUUAAACUUAGCAACAAAUUAAUUCUUAUCUAAUCAAGAUUAGAACUAUUAAGCAGCGGAUAAAUGAGCUCAAUAAAACA
rnacentral:lncRNA from 1 species